rnacentral:rRNA from 1 species
GACGAACGCUGGCGGCGUGCUUAACACAUGCAAGUCGAGCGGUAAGGCCCUUUCGGGGGUACACGAGCGGCGAACGGGUGAGUAACACGUGGGUGACCUGCCUCUAGCUCUGGGAUAAGCCUGGGAAGCUGGGUCUAAUACCGGAUAUGACCUCGCGGUGCAUGUUGCGGGGUGGAAAGCCUUGUGCGGCUAGGGAUGGGCCCGCGGCCUAUCAGCUUGUUGGUGGGGUGANGGCCUACCAAGGCGACGACGGGUAGCCGGCCUGAGAGGGCGACCGGCCACACUGGGACUGAGACACGGCCCAGACUCCUACGGGAGGCAGCAGUGGGGAAUCUUGCGCAAUGGGCGAAAGCCUGACGCAGCGACGCCGCGUGAGGGAUGACGGCCUCGGUUGUAACGUACUU